GAGACCUUAGACAGGUGGGUGGACACGGCAUGGUGGGGCUGAGGGCAUCCACCCCUCAUGCCUGGCACCCAGACAAGGCAGGGUGUCUUCCCCUGUGCCGAUGCCUUUCUGCCUUGAAUUUAAAAAAUUCAUUUUCUUCUCUCUCUUCUACCCAUUCCCCUGCUUCAGUCUAACAGAAAUACCUCACCAGUCACUGUUAUUUCAGAUUGCCAGAGUAGUUUUUCCCUCAGCCUGUGUUUCCUGCAGCACCUCAGGGUUCAGCCCAAUCUCCCACUUUUUACAGGUUUCUGUUUUUUAGGCGGUACCUCCACACACACAGCCCCUGCCAUCCCUCUACAGCGUAAUUACUGGAGCACAUAAAGCAGUUAUAGCAGGAAUUUAUCACUUUCAGGUAGAAAUACUCCUGGCCAAGUAAAAGAUAGAGCAGGAAUGCCAGGAGCGAUUUAUAACGGGCUUACUGACAUUUCACGUGGAGAAGCUCCGUCAGUGAAUAAGCAUCAAGCUAUAAAUCUCAGAGAAAACAUGAUUAAAGCAAGCAAGUUAUUCUUUGAGGGAACUUCAUCAUAAAAGGAUGUGGUGGUGUGGAGCCACAAAAUUUGGUUGGUGACAGUUGUAGAAAACAGCCGUCAGAGCAGCAUCCCAGCUUUACCUUAUCUAGAGAGAAGGACUUCUACUUAAAUGAGUGUUAAAUCAGGGCUGAAAGUAUUUCUUAAUAAACUAUUAAUGUCUUCCAAGAAGGAGGUUCUCCAGUUUUCAGGUGUCAAACUCCUCUGCUUUGGUACUUUGUUCCCUCUGUGGCUCCUAAACACUGGGAAUGGUUUGAAUUGGGAUUUUUAUUUUUUUUUUUUUGCUUUAUUUAGAGAAGGGUAAAUCUUUGUUACUAAUAUUAGCCAGAGAUGCAGGGAGAUGAGCACUACACAGGAUGCAGAAUUGUGAAAUCUCUCAGCUCCAUUGAUCUGAGAAUAUUUGUCAUCUGGGGCAAGCUGACACUUGACAGGGUGAAGCACCGUCACGCUGAUUUGAAAGAUGGCAUUUUCAGCCUUUAUUAUCAAUGUCAUCAUAUCUCCUAACCUGCUUGACCCCAGAAAACACUGUCUCAGCUUUCUCUGCAUCCAUGGUAACUCCCAAUCCUUAUCCAUGAGAAGGGAAACAGUGGAGAGUCCUAAACAACAGCCUGUCCCUUACAGUGAUGCUGUCCUUGCAGAAUCCGAGCCGGAGGGGGAUGGAUACAGGCGUCCCCAUCCUCACACGUCUCGUUUCCCUGGCACGGAGAGGAGGGCUGUUUGUUGUCAUCGACAGCACGGGAGCUGCAUCAGUGCGCUUGGAUCCAGCUGUGAAAAGUGUGGCUGUGUCUCUGUAACAGCCUGUUGUUUCCUGGUGCUCAGGGAACCCCCCGCUGCGUUAAUAGCACGGCGCAGUGUCCCCCUUGCUAAUGGCCCGUCAUCCCGGGACCGGCGGGAUCUCUGCCGCCCGGGGAAGCGGCUCUGCGGAAAGGAGCAACAGCCGCCGAGGCGAGCGUGGAAGUACAACAACACCAAAGGAAAAUCACACCUUGUGAGAGACACAUGUAGCUGCCAGAUGCUCCCAGAUCUGUUUCUGGCAGGAUCUGACUGCAGCGAGCUGCUACAGAGCACAGCACCAUCCUUGACUAUCCUGGGGGAGGGAAAGGGGCAGGCAGACAUGCCCUGGGCCUGCUCUACCCAAAGGGGAGCUUGUCCCCAGGCCCUGCAAGGCGGGGGAGUGGCACAUUCCUGGUGCCUCUUCCCACCCUAUGUGCAUGCACCAAAACACCGGGAUGCAGGAGAGGGAUGACAGCAAGGGCCAGAGCUGAACAGGGCACCCUCACUUCUUUCCUUGGGUUGCAGAGGAUGAAGCUGGGACAGGAACCUGCUCCCUCAUAUUGACAAAACCAGGAUAAACUCACAAAAUAAGCUAAAUGAGUCAUUUUUUCCCUUAAAAAUAAACAGUUACCAGAUGCAACCUUUACAUCCUCUUGCUUGGCUGUUGUGUGCUCAUCUUGUGCUCCAAAAUCCCAACUCCCAGCAUCUCCUAGGGCAUGGGAGAUACUGAAAGAUGGCAAAAGGCCUCGCUGCUGAGAUGAAACUUUAAUGCGAUUUGAAGCAUUCAGAGCAGGUUACAAACAACACUUGAUCCACAGAUCUCUUGAGUCAACCUGGCAUUUAUGUUCACAAAAUAUGAGAUGCCAAUAUAUACUGUAUAGGACAGUAAACCAGAUAAGUGCCUCAUCUUCCUUCCCUCCAGCUGAAAUAUGUUUAGUGUCUCUCCCAAUAAAUCCACGUGUGCACGCACAGCCUCCAUUGUGCUGAGACAUUAUGUGGGAAUUUACAAACAUUUACAGCUAAGUUAAACUGAGCCAAAGCACUGCCCUGGGCAGCCUGAAGCUAACAAAUACUUGUGUUCGAGAAAGAUGUAAAAGUCACGAGUGAUUCAUUCUCCUUAAUUUCAUAAAGGUUAAGGAGUUGGUGCUCUCGGAAAUCUAGGAAACGUCUUCCUCUGCAGUGAAUUACUGCUACCAGUUGGACAGUCAGGAGCGAAAAAAAUGAUGCAGGGAACAGAGGGAAGCAAGAAAUACAUCUCUAAAUUUGGUUUAUGCAGUAUUUAAAGUACAACUAAAGCCAUUCCAGGCAGUAUAAGGCCCACACACUUUGAAAUAAAUUCGUUGCAUGACAGAAAGCCAGUAAAGCGGUUUCGGCAGUGGUGUGAUAUAGUGAGACAGCGGCGUUGGGCACGUGCAUGAAUCAGCUCCGUGCCCCGCUGAGGCAACGAUCAUCUCCGCCGUGCUAAACUGUUAAUGUGAUUUUCAAACAAUGCCGAGCUUCACAGCAAAACCCACGCUGAAGGAUGGGCUGGGCUCGGCGGCUGACGGGGAAGGUAAAACAUCCUCGUCUACCUCGUGCUUCGUCUCAAAGUGCUGCCCAUCUGGUAAAGACCUUUUUAUGUAAAUACACCGGUACCUGAUAUUUUAUUCAUUUAGCGAAGUUCCCCAGCUGUUUUUCAACAAAUAUACAAUUAUUACGUGAUUCAUCAUGUAAUGGGAAGGAGCGAGAGCAGAGGGAGGCGGUUCCAUAGAGUCUCACAAGUCAGCUGUUUUCCUGGGGAUUAAAAGAGCCCCCCUGGGAAGAGGGGGUCCCUCUCCUCCCAUCCACCUGAAUGCAGAGCACACCCUGGGACCACCCCACCAGCAAAGGGUGCUCAGCUCUGACAUGCUGAGCGGCCACCGCAAGUGACAGAAUGGAUCCGCUUCAUCAGAAGACUGGAAAAAAAAUGGGAAGAGGAACAGCCUCAUGCUUUGAAUUCCCUCUUUCCCCAAGCGUCUGAAUCAAAGCCUUUAACAGGCUUAGUUUGCUGCUCGUGCCGCCCCUCUGAGCCCAAUUUUGCUGUGCGCCCGCGGCCCUGAGAGCUCACCGUGGUCGCAGAGGCAUCGUGGGCUGCAGCACUGACUUGAAAGACACGGAGCUGCUGAGACCAUUUGGUGCAGUAAUUGGCUACAGCCAUUAGACUAGCAAGUUUUAGUAUUUCAAAUAUUGAGGGAUUUGAUCCCCAAAAGGAAAUAAUAAUAAUAAUAAUAAAAAAGUCUGUUACACUUUCAGACUAAGCAGCGCAGUCAGCAUUGCAUUACAUGGCAUUAAAUUAUUCGUUGAGCCUCAGUAGCAGGAACAUCUGCUGGUGUUAGACAUGGCAUUUUUAAUUAAAAGCAGCGGCAGAGAAGCCUGUGGUUCAUUGGUUCUGCUUUCAGCGUGCGAAUUGCUGAAUCCAAAGGGCACUUGUACAAAAGAUUUGGUCAGAGCACAAGCUCUGGACCCAGCGCUGCAGAAGCGCGAGUGGAAAAGCAGCUGAGGUGACAGGUAAUUUACAGCUGCACCUGCUGGGCCCAUCAACCAGCAGGGGACCUCUGAGAACGGCCACGUGGGUCAAAACUGCAGGGGAUUUUACAAAAUUGAGACUUCCCUUCUGAUUUUACCAGAAAAGGGGUUUCCUGGAGAAAGGCAAAUAACAGAGAACAGCAAAGCAGGAAAGAAAACUGUGCCCAGCUGGGGACCACUUUCACACCUUUGCUUCAGCAGCUGCUGGUGCUUCCCUGCUCCAGUGCUGGGCUGCAUGGAUGGAUGGCACAGACCCUCCAUAUCAAGCAGUGCCCCCCAGGAGAUUUACCUACCAAAGGAAUAAAGGCUUGAACAAGGAAUAAUUUCCAUCCCCCAUCAGCUGCCCUCCCAGACAUCUCGUCCUAAGUAUGCCAAGGCAGACCAAAAAUCAGGCCUGGGCAAAAAUCAGGCAUUUGAGCAUGGCUGGAAAAUGCCCAAAGCCCCCAGCAGCAUGGAUACAUCCAAGGCAGAGCCAACCACAAAAAGGCCUUCUCACCCUCUUCCACCUCCCACUGCCCCAAGGCAGUCCCACAAGACUGGGUCAUCGCUAGGCAGUCUGCUCUGACAGGGCUCAGCCUUCCUGUAGUAAAACCUGAAUUAAAACGUGUGCCAACUGUCAGGUCUCAGCUCAGCUCGGCGGAUGGGCAGAGCUGAGGAGCAGGGAGAGGUUCCUGUCCCAGGGUCCGGGUGCAGAAGCGUCAGCCCCACGGACACGCGCUGCUGCCUCCCUGCAGGCACAGAGGGGACGGGAUUUCCCUCGAGGAGCCCUGCAGAUGGUGUUUGUUUGCUCAGCCACGGUAGAAAAGGAAAAUAUUUGGUGCAAUCUGCUAGCAGACAGAGACAGACAUAUGGUCGGUGCGAGGCGAGCGUGGAUGCUCAGGAAAACACAGUCAGAGCUCUGCAGAGGCUUUUAGAUGUUGGAUUGACCCUGAGUUGAGUGGGAUGCAAGUCCAGGGAAACCUCUGAAGAACCUGGGUGAGUGUUUUGUGCAGUGGCUGCUGUGGCUAGAACCCUCAUAUUAGCCCCACUCUAAUUAGUCUUAUUAUACUAUCCCUAUUGUACUAGAGUUAUUAUAAUUAACCCAAUUUUAAUUUAUGCAAACCUCAGCUCUGGCUCAACACUUAGAGAAAUUCUCCCUGGUUUGAUGUCUGUUCAUCUGGCACACACAAAACACAGGUUAAAAACAACAGAGCCAAUUAAAGGCAAUUACUUGCACUUUUGGACCCAGUGGAGUCAGGAUGCAGGUGCAACGUUGCUUUUGUUCUUUACCUGGGACUUAUGAGCCUGUUGUUAAAUGUAUCACUGCAGCUUCAAGCCUGUGGGAAAUCUUUGGGCCGGCCCAAAAAAUAACAUUCUUUUUAUUUGCCUUGCAGUUACAUUUUAAAAAUGCAAACCCCUGAUUGUUCUGAUCUCUGUUUCCCAGAUAUCAAGGCCUCUUUCUUAAUCAGGACACAUCUCCAGCUAAAGCAGCACUGGUGACCUCCAUGGGGUUGGUCAGGGAUCUCCGCAUCCUGAGUCAAGCCUCAGCACCUCCAGCUUCAUCAGGAUAAAACAGAUUCCCAGGACUGCGGGGAGAAAUUUGCUGUGACUUCUUAACAGCAAACCUGCCCCACUUUAAAGAAUUCAAGUUAUUUUGGGGGGUAGAAUGGGCCCCCUAACUAUGCCUGAGUGCUCGAGGGCAGAGACAGCUGCUGUGCCUGAGCACUGAGAUGAGGAUCCCUGUGGGGUGAAGUUCUGUUGUCACCACACUUAGAAAUGAUCUGUGGAGAGGGAUGGGGCCAUGUCUCCAGCUCUGACAUGAGCUCCACACCCAGAACACCUGGUAUGGUCAUACUGGUGCCUCCCCCGGUCUUGCUCUGGUGCAUGAGGAUCUCAACCCCACCUUUUAGCUUCAACAAAGCCAAAUUAAGGGGAAAAAAUAAUAUAUCAGCAAGGAGUACAGCUGGCAUUUCUGGAGAAUGUGAAAAGUGUGGUUAAUGCUCCCUUAAUAUAAAUUAAAAUGCUCCUUCCCUGUUAAGCCUUCCUUCCAAAGGCAGGGGCAGAGGGCUCCAGCAUCCCACAAAACCCAUGCCUCACACUUCUUAAAACUGAAAGCCAGAGCUGAGCUGCAAAUAAAAGAAGUAAGGAAGUCCGUGAGGUUACUGCAGUGAUACAUGGAGGCAGGGCAGUUUCUGGGAAGGGCCCUGCAGAGGGGCUGGAGGAAGGGCUGGGGGCAGUGCACAGAGAUGCCCCUCUGAAAUGUGUCCCAGAGCUCCUGGUCUUGCUUCUCCCUUCGGUGCCAACUCACUGUGUCAUCACAAGACAGAUUUUUCUGGGCUGCAGCUUGGCCUGAACCUUUGGAAAUCUCUCAUGUGCAGAGCUCCCAGAGCAUUUUCCUGACUUGCUUACUAACUGGAGGAAACUUAAGGAACAAAAACCACGGCACAUCUAUAUGUGUUUACAAGUAAAGCAAGCCUGGAGCUGCCCCUGCCUGGCUGCUCAGGUACGGCGUCGAUUUCCCGGGUUCCUGGAGCAGAACGGAUUCAGCGGCUCCGCAGCCUGGUUUGCAGUGAUGGAUGGGAAUGAUUAUCAUUGUUAAUCUCACUAAGCCUGUGGCUCAACUUUUGAGGGUGCUUAAAGGAACACUUGAGGAGGAGCAUGUGAAGAUGUGUGGAGCACCUGCUCCUGUACCCCUGUCAGUAUUGACCUGAGGGCACCAUCUGGUGCAAGGAUUUUAAACAGGAAUAGUUCAGAGCAGCCAGACUGUAGGCUUCGACAGACUUGGACUAAGGCUCCAAAUAAGGACCACACUCCUGAGUCACACCCACUGGCUGCUUUGGAGGUGGUGUUAUGCUCAAGGCUACAGGUGGGAAGGAAUAACCCAGCUGGGUCUGGUUAUGGAGAGGCAGAUCAUCCCACUUCCUCCUCCCCAUCACACGCUGGAUGUGCCUCCAUUUGGCUCUGGCUGUGAAGGAGCAGCACACACUGAAGCAGAGGGCUGGAUAAAACCCCUUCAGCUGGCAGCUGGGACACAGAGAGGAGAGGGCUGGGAGCUCACCCUGACCUGCUAAGGGAGACAAGAGCCUCGAUGAUAACCGUGUCUUCACUUGGAUUUUAUCUCAUGUGUGUUACCAUAAAUUCUGUCAUGCCCUUCCUGUUCCUUUCUUUGGAGUCAGUGAAGACCUGAGCUCUUUCUAAGAGACAAUUCAUUUCCACCCAACAUGCUGGUCUAGUGAAAGACUCUGCUUAAUCUGGAGGCUGGGGUAGAGGGUGGGAUUGUUGCUUUGAGCCUCCCAGCUUGUGGGAGCACUGCCAUUUCCUGCUCUCACUUCCCAGCACAGGGCCCUCACCACUGCUCUCCCUGGCAAUGGCCUCUUUCCAACAGUGUCUUCCAGCAGCCAUCAGCACUGAACUGGGGGCUGCAUGCCCAGGAACCAAGCACUGGGGAGCAGUGGCUGGUUUCAAGCGUUGCUCCGUGGGUUGCAAGCACAAGUAUCUGUUUCCUCCAUCCUGAGCUCCAUGUGGCCGCUGUAACUCUCCCAUUUUGGCACGUGCCAGCGUGUGGGAGCUGCAGGAUUGUAACAUGGUGUGGGACAGGCUCCGGUCCCAAAAUACUGAUACCCCUUGGGGUGGUUUUGUGCAGCUUCCCCCCUGCCACAGAUAUUUUGAGGAGCCUGGUCUGGCCCAAAAUGGGCUGCACUCCCUCUGCUGCUCCCGAGCACCGUGGGGCUGAUCGUCCUCCCUCAUACUAGCACCGUGGAUGCAAGUGCUGGGAUGAACAGAGCCAACAGCACACGCUGGCUGUGCCCCUUACUAAUGUUGUUCUUACUAUUUUAGUGCCAUCUUCCUUCUUUCCACCCUCUCCCUGAACAACUAAAUUAAUUAGAGUGGGUUUUUUUAUUUAAAUACUGUCAUGGAAUAAUAAUCCUAGUGAAUUCAAUUUUUGUUUUGUCAUUCCCCACUGCUUCUUUUCUCUGUUGUGCUCUCUUUUAAUAUGCUGCUGAUACUUUGUUAUAGCUAUGCAAGAUCACAGCUGUUGUCUGAAAAAAAAAAGAGAGUAAAAUCAUGUUAUGUGCUGUUGCCAUCCAAAACCCAUUUUUCUUCCUCCAGCAGCUCACAAAAUAACCCUUCCCCUAUUAAGUGCAGAGGCAUACAUUUUUCUUGGCUUGUAAAAAGCUAGAAAGUCUCAUAGCAGAUUCAGUGAAGCUGCAGCAGUGGAAGGAAGUCAAAGUUCCCACAACAGGCGGGGGCACAUUCUGAGCCUAUUACGAGCUUGGAUUCUGCAAAUUCUGGAUCCGAGCAGCGACUCCACAGAGGCAGCAGGUCUGUGGGCACCACCAGCUCCUGUACUUUACACUGAGUUUUGUUUACCUGGAUGUGUUAAUUUGACCUGUAAACAUGUCUUCUGAAAGGACCCAGUAACAAAACCACUCCUGCAGCUCUCAUGAAAGGACAAAAAGAAUCCCAUUAGACCCUGAAUUUAUAUUUACAGUAUUUUGCUUAACAUUGGCCCUUCUGGACAGCUUUCCUCGGCCCUGCCAGGCCCUCUCUGACCCUUUGAAGUCAACCCUCGGUGGCCACUGGCAUCGAGACCAAAGCUAAGCCAGGAUCAAGCUGUAGAAGCACCGUGCUUCAUCAACAAGCACAAAGCCGUAAAUGAAGGAGAGCCAGGAUGGAGAUUUGAGUCGUUGUCUCCAAGUCCACAGUUCCAAUUACAAAACCGACUUCAAUCAGCCUCACAACGCACACAACCAGUCCUGAAAUUCCUCCUUGACUCCCUGACCCUGUUCAGUGCCUGCACUGCCUACACCUCAUGUCUGUAACGUGUCAGAGCAGUUCUAAAUGAAGCUCAGGUGAGGCUCGUGCUGUUCCAUUUAACACACAGGGGCUGUGUGACCGCUCUGGCAGGGCUUGCCCCAGCACUGCUGCCUCUAACAAGGGUUAUGAGAGUGGCUGAGGUGAAAUUGCAUCAAAGGAGUGAGAUGAAAAGCUUGUUUCCCCCUGGACUGCAGCUCGUGGAGAGGAGCCGUGCCGUGGUACACAGAGCGCUGCUGGGUCAGUGUUCAGCAGUCUCACCUCCCUGCCCAGGCCAGAGGGAGGAGGGAGCUUGUUGGCUACUUGGGUUUUUUUGGAAAGCAGAGUUAUGUAAAGCAAAAAUUUCUGAGGGGAUCCAGAGAGGACUGACAACAAGGGGCACCUGCCGUGACACCCCCAGGGGAAGAUGACAGUGAGUGCCAAAGACAGGGGAGUGACCCGUCCUUCCCGGGCCAUGCACAGCCUGCUCACAGCCCUCAGACACAUCCUCAGCAGCUGCCUUUUAGUCCAGGCUCCGCAUUCCUCACCACCCCUGGAACCACAAUGGGCCCUGCUCAGGGAGACAAGAGGUGAUGAGAAGCCUGCAGCUGGUGUGCAGAGGCAGGAUAGUAUCAGCUUGGAUGUGUUUUGCCUCAGAACUGAGGCUGGAGCGUGUCCCACACCUGAAAGGGACAGGAUGAAUCUGAGGCUCUGCAGGGAACAGGGAUGUUUGUAAUGUGGCACAAAAGGUAAUUCAGCCCCUGGUGGCGUGAUAUACAACCACCUUGCCAGAUGCUUCAACCCCCCAAACAGUUGUAAGUGCUUCUCCAUGGGCCGCAGUUAAAUUCCCUCCAGGAUGUAAACUUGGGCUUGUUUGGACCAAUACCUACAGACUUGAUUGCAACAGCAGAUGGUUUAUUUCUACCUGCAAGUGAGAACGGGGAGUGUAUAUCACGGCCCUGACACAUUUCACAUGGAACAGAUGUUUCUAUUAAUGCCAGAAUUGGGUGGAAAUUCAAAGGAUGCUUUUUGCUUUUUUUUCCCCCCUCAAAACUAUUUUACUCAAUUAAAUUGCAACUUGCUGAAGUAUUCCAAUGAAUCACUUCCCCCUUUUUUUUUUUUUGUUUGAUUAGUAGGCUCUAAAGGGACAAAAGAAUAGCUUUGUAUCAGUCUCCCUCAAUUACAUGUAAAGUACAUCUGGACAGAGUCUGAAGAUCCAUCUUUCACUGGCAGUUGCAAAGCCAUCGACAUAAUAAAAUAAUACUCUGAUUGGUA